AGUGAACGUUGGCGGCGUGCCUAACACAUGCAAGUCGAGCGCGUUCCGGGGGCAACCCCGGGAUGAGCGGCGAACGGGUGAGUAACACGUGGGUAAUCUCCCCCCGAGUGAGGAAUAAGCCCCCGAAAGGGGGUCUAAUACCGCAUGACACCCAGGGGCAUAAGCAACCUGGGUCAAAGCCGUAAGGCGCUUGGGGAUGAGCCUGCGUCCUAUUAGCUAGUUGGUAGGGUAACGGCCUACCAAGGUUAUGAUGGGUAGCCGGCCUGAGAGGGUGAUCGGCCACACUGGGACUGAGACACGGCCCAGAAUCCUACGGGAGGCAGCAGUGAGGAAUUUUGCGCAAUGGGCGAAAGCCUGACGCAGCGACGCCGCGUGGAGGAUGAAGGCCUUCGGGUCGUAAACUCCUGUCAGAGGUGAAGAAUCCCCGCAAGGGGUUGACGGUAACCUCAGAGGAAGCCCCGGCCAACUACGUGCCAGCAGCCGCCGUAAGAC
rnacentral:rRNA from 1 species